CACUGAAUCUGCUAGCCCCGUGAUCUUGAACUUCCCAGCCUCCAGAACCGUGAGAAAUACAUUUCUUUGGUUGAUGAGCUACCCACUCCAUGAUAUUCUGUUAUAGCAGCUUGAACAGAUGAAGAGACCCUGGAGAAGAUAAUCUUAGAGAUUCCUAGACCUAAUAUUCAAUAACAUCAUAUCACAUGUUUGACAACUACAGUAACUGGAAUGUUCGAGGUGUUAUACUGUGUAUGAGAAUUCUUGGCCUCUGAAACUACAGAUGAAAGGAAAAUGAUAUUUGCCCCAGACCACCUCGACAGCCCAGUGACAAGCAACUAAAGACUUUAUCCAAAUUCUGUGAGGACGGAUGUGUACCUCAGAGACCUGUAGUGAAUGGCUGUUACAAGG
rnacentral:lncRNA from 1 species